rnacentral:precursor_RNA from 9 species
UUUGUUAAGAAGAGAUAUUCAGACAUUUUGACGGGUUUCGCGAUUUGCGAACAGUCUAACGGAUUGUGUUCGUUGUCGACGAAACCUGCCUUAAGCCCCUGAUCAUCCUGCAAUGGUACAA